rnacentral:rRNA from 1 species
CUACGGGAGGCUCCAGUGAGGAAUAUUGCACAAUGGGGGGAACCCUGAUGCAGCAACGCCGCGUGGAGGAUGACGCAUUUCGGUGUGUAAACUCCUUUUAUAUGUCAAGAAAAUGACGGUAGCAUAUGAAUAAGCACCGGCUAACUCCGUGCCAGCAGCCGCGGUAAUACGGAGGGUGCAAGCGUUACUCGGAAUCACUGGGCGUAAAGGACGCGUAGGCGGGUUGGAAAGUCAGGUGUGAAAUCCUACAGCUUAACUGUAGAACUGCACUUGAAACUUCUAAUCUAGAGUAUGGGAGGGGGAGAUGGAAUUAGUGGUGUAGGGGUAAAAUCCGUAGAUAUCACUAGGAAUACCUAAAGCGAAGGCGAUCUCUUGGAACAUUACUGACGCUAAGGCGUGAAAGCGUGGGGAGCAAACGGGAUUAGAUACCCGUGUAGUC